rfam:Gossypium hirsutum cultivar TM-1 chromosome 5, whole genome shotgun sequence
UAUUAAAAAUUUUAUCUAUUUGUACUAUUAAAGACUAACGUGAUUAACGGAAUAACCAGAUAGUAACAUGUGACAUGCCAUAUAUACCUCAUGCUGACAUACAUGGAUCAAUUUUUAACAACAUAAAUAAAUAAUUUUUUUAAUA